UACGAAGGGUGCAAACGUUGCUCGGAAUUAUUGGGCGUAAAGCGCACGUAGGCGGCAUUGCAAGUCGGAUGUGAAAUCCCUCGGCUUAACCAAGGAAGUGCAUCCGAAACUGCAGUGCUUGAGUACUUAAGAGGAUCGCGGAAUUCCCGGUGUAGAGGUGAAAUUCGUAGAGAUCGGGAGGAACACCGGUGGCGAAGGCGGCGACCUGGGCCAAUACUGACACUGAGGUGCGAAAGCGUGGGGAGCAAACAGG
rnacentral:rRNA from 1 species